UGACAUGGGGGCACCUGAUUCCAGCAAUGCCNNGCGUGAGUGAAGAAGGGCCUUCGGGUUGUAAAGCUCUUUUGUCAGGGAAGAAACACCGGCUCUAACACAGUUCGGGAAUGACGGUACCUGAAGAAUAAGCACCGGCUAACUACGUGCCAGCAGCCGCGGUAAUACGUAGGGUGCGAGCGUUAAUCGGAAUUACUGGGCGUAAAGCGUGCGCAGGCGGUUAUACAAGACAGGCGUGAAAUCCCCGGGCUUAACCUGGGAAUGGCGCCUGUGACUGUAUGGCUAGAGUGUGUCAGAGGGGGGUAGAAUUCCACGUGUAGCAGUGAAAUGCGUAGAUAUGUGGAGGAAUACCAAUGGCGAAGGCAGCCCCCUGGGAUAANCACUGGAGCGGCUCAUGUGCACGAAAAGCGUGGGGAGCAAACAGGAUUAGAUACCCUGGUAGUCCACGCCCUAAACGAUGCUGACUAGUUGUUCGGGAUUUACAUCCUGAGUAACGUAGCUAACGCG
rnacentral:rRNA from 1 species